ACUGUUCCCUCCAACAGGAUUAUGUAUCUGCUAUAAUCAAAUUUACAAUUUUUCCCAAGAAUGACCAAGUAAUCCAAUGAAUAAUUAUCAUAACAUUACAACAAUUCCAAUGUGGAGAAUACUAUUUUGCAGCAUCAUCUAUCUGUCCGUGUGAAUUCAAUCUCGCACCUUAAGUUUGGACCGCAAUCUCAUGCUUUUCAGGUUUAAGUUGAAACCUCUAGCUGUUAGCAUCUUCAUUCCCAGAGGGCAACCUCUGAUUAGUCUUCAGAAGUUGUCAUUACGGUUGGCAUCCCAAUUUUCUUAUUUAAUGAAAAAUCACUCUGUAGUUCAAGUUCUCGUAUUUGUUGCAUCGUCAUCCCAAACCAUUCAUCAAUCCAACCAAAACAGUUCCGAUGAGAUUCUAAGAAAAGAGCCCUUUCACCCGCUAGUAAAGCCUGUUCAAGUCGAUAACCAAAGCCCCAAUAUGGUGCAUCUACUGUUACCAACUUGUAUGCUGUCAUAACAGGUUUACAUCUGCCAUCCAUCCAAAAGUGGACCACGGCCAGUUCUUACAGAUUUGAAAUUAGAGAAGUCCAUGCUGUUGCUUCCAAUAGCAUAACUCCAAUAAUCUGUUUC
rnacentral:misc_RNA from 1 species